rnacentral:lncRNA from 1 species
AGCCAUAGUUUGACAGCCUUUCUUUCUCUCUCUUUUGAGUUUAAAAUUGUAAUGCUAAGAAUGUGUGACUUGACUCAUUACUUUGCAAGGCAACUGUAGUUGCAGCACAGCCUGGUGGGUAAAUCCUUUCUCUUUGUUUUUUAAUUUUAUUCUCGACUUCUGAGAAUGUUAAUGUCAGUUUUUUAGAUGUUACAAUAUUCUUAUUUUAGUUCAACAUAUAUUUUACAAUGUUAUUGAUAUGUUUUUCUUGGCGAUGGUACUGAUUUUCACCCCCACCUGAGCCACCAUUUCUUUCACUCGUCAUUUAAGUUAAAUUGGAUAAUAAGAAUGUGAUUGACCCACUUCCUUGGCGAGGCACUCUAUUUUAGCCUGUUUCGGGUAAUCCUUUCCUUUUAGGUUUUUGUGAGCUGGGUUUUAAGGGUAAAAUUCUUAUUUCGAGAAUGUAAAUGUCUAGGGUUUCUAGACCCGGUGUUUUCAGUGAUAGUUGUCUUAUUUGACUCACAUGAUAUGUUAAAAAAUGUGAUUGAUCUAUUUCUUGGCGGAGAUCAUUGGUAGUUGCAGCGCAUAGUGGUCCAUCCUUUCUUUCUCGCUCUUUUGAGUUAAAAUUGGAAUGCUAAGAUGUUUUGAAUUGACUCAUUACUUGGCAAGCAACUGUAGUGGCAGCCGUGAUGGUAAAUCCUUUCUCUUUGUUUUUUAAUUUUAAAUCUCCGAAUUCUGAAAUGUUGAUUGUCUAGUUUUCAGAUUUAAAAAAUGUUUUAUUGAGUUCCACAUGAUAUUUAAAUGUGAUUGAUUAUAUUUUCUUGGCGGAGAUAUUUUGAGUUGCAGCCAUAGUGGGUCAAUCCUUUCUUUCCUCGUUCUCUCUGUCUUUUCUUCCCCUUUUUCUGCGCCUCUUUGUAUAUCUUUACAAAAUUGGACAUCCGCUUUUCCAGAUGUGUUUGACCCAUUUCUUGCGAGCACUGUUGUUGCAGCCGGUGUGGUAAAUCAUUUCUCUUUAUUUUUAAUUUUAAUGUCGUAUACUGAGAAUGUAAUUGGUCUAGUUUUCUAAAUGUUAAACUCAAAAAAAUAAUAUUUCUUAUUUGAGCUCUCAAUACAGUUGAGAUGUGAUUGAUAUUUUCUUGCAGAGAUAAUUGUAGUUGGCAUCCAUUCCACCACACCAUCCUUUCUUUCUCUCUUUCUGGAGUUUAAAAUUAUAAUGCUAAGAAUGUGGAUUUGCCCCAUUCCUUGGCGAGGCAACUGCUAGUUGUAGCGCUGGUGGGUAAAUCAUUCUCUUUAUUUUUAAUUUUACAAUGUCGUAGUACUCUGAGAAGUAAUUGUCUAGUUUUUAAAUAUUACAAUAUUUUUUAUUUGAGUGGCUCCUCAUGACUGUUUGAGAAUGUGAUUGGUUAUAUUUCAUUGGCGGGGUACACUGUAUUUGCAACCCACAGUAGGCCACACAAUCAAGUUCUUCCUAUCUAUCAAUUCUGAGGUUAAAAUUGGAAUGCUGAAAAAUGUGAUUGACUUAUUCCGUAAGCGAGACAACUAUUUUUGCAAGCCGUGGUGUUGAAUCCCUUUUCUUUCCUUCUCUCCUUUGUUUUUUAAUUUUAAAUCUCGAAUUCUGAGAAUUCAGUUAAGGUCGAGUUUUUAGAUGUUACCAAUAUUUCUUUAUUGAUUUCACAUGAUAUUUUAAAAUGUUAUUGAUAUGUUGCUUGGCGUAGGGUACCUGUAAGUUUCACCCAUAGUGAGCUCAACCAUUUUCCUUUCACUCUGUCAAUUUAAGUUUCAAAUUGGAAUACUAUAAGAUUGUGAUUGACCCAUUCCUUGGCGAGGCAAACUACUUGUAACCGUUUUUCGGGUAAAUCCUUUCUCUUUAUUUUUUAAUUUUAAUUCGUCUUUAAUUCUGAGAAUGUAAAUGUCUAGUUUUUAUGAUGUUACAAUAUUUUUUAUUUGAGUUCACAUGACAAGUUGUACAUGUGAUUGAUAUAUUUCUUGGCUAGGGUGACUGUAGUUUCACACACAGUGAGCCAACCAUUUCUUUCUCUCUUCUGUCAUUUGAGUUUAAAAUUGGAAUUCAUUAAGAAUGUGAUUGACCCUAUUCCUUGGCGAUACAUCUAUUAUUGGCACAGCCGUUGCGGAACAUCCUUUCUCUUUGUUUUUUAAUUUUAAUUCUUUAUCUGAGAAUAUCAAUUUCUAAGUUUUAGAUGUUUACAUAAGCUUUCUCUCUUAUUAUUGCAUUUUCACAUUGAAUAGUUAAAUGUGAUUGAUAGUUUCUUGUUGGGAUAAAUUGUAGGUGCAGCCAUAGUGGUCCAAUCCUUUCUCUCUCUCUUCUGAGUUUAAAAUUGGAAUUCUAAAAUGUGGUUGAUGAUCUACUCAUUUCCCUAGUUUUUUUAUUUUCUUUUUUCCCUUCGUUUUAGCCUGACUUUCUUUACCCCUCUUCCUCCUACCAUAUUUGUUUCCUGUUUCACGUGCACUGUUUGUUGCAGUAUCGUCCGGGUAAAUACUCUCUUGGUUUUUUAAUUUUGAUUCGCUUUAAUUCUGAGAAUAUAAAUGUCUAAUUUUUUAGAUUUACAAUUUUUUAUUUGAUUCACAUGAUAUGUUGAAGUGUCAUUGAAUAUGUUUUCUUCUGGCGGUAAUUGAUAUGUUUCUUGGCGGAAAUAACUGUAGUUGCAGCAAUAGUUGGCCAAUCCUUUCUUUCUCACUCUUUUGAGUUUAAAAUUGGAAUGCUAAGAACGUAAUUGACCUAUUUCUUGGUGAGGCAAUUGUAGAUGCAGCUGUGGUAGGUAAAUCAUUUCUAUUGUUCAUUAAUUUUAAUUCUCGAAAACUAGAAUGUCUUGUCCAGUUUCUAGAUGGUACAAAUGUUUUAUUUGCGUUUUUCACACUGAUCACCAUGUUUGGUAUGAAUUUGCUGAUUAUUGGUUUUUCUUUGCUAGGGAACUGAACUGGCUAUAAGUUGUCUUCAUCACCACUUGCCCACAGUGAGCCAACCACUUCUUUCUCUUGUCAGUUGAGUUUAAAAUGGAAUACUCAGAAUGUUAUUGACCCAUUCCUUUGCGAGGCAAAACUAUUGAUUCAGCCGUUGUGGGUAAAUCCUUUCUCAUUAUUUUUUAAUUUUUAAUUUUUUUAAAAUUCUGAGAAUGUAAAUGCUAGUUUCUAGAUGUUACUAUUUCUUAUUUGAGUUCACUUGAUAUGUUUAACAUGUGAUUGAAAUGUUUCUUCUUACAAGAUAAUUCGUAAUUGGCACCGCUCAUAAGUUAUCCUUUCUCCCUUUCCUUCUUUCUCUCUCUUUUGAGUUUAAAUUAGAAUGCUAAGAAUGUGAUUGAGCCAUUCCUUAGUGAGGCAACUGUAGUUGCAGCCGUGGUGGGUAAAUCGUUACUAUUUGUUCUUUAAUUUUAAAUUUCAAAAACUGAGAAUGUAAUUAUUCAGUUUUUAGAUGUUACAAUAUUUUUUAUUUAAGUUCACAUGACAUGUUGAGAAUGUGAUUGAUAUAUUUCUUGGCUAGGGUAACUGUAGUUUCACCCACAAUGAGCCAACCAUUUCUUUCUCUCUGUCAUUUGAGUUUAAAAUUGGAAUACCAAGAAUGUGAUUGACCCAUUCCUUGGCGAGACAACUAUUAUUGCAGCCGUUGCGGGUAAAUCCUUUCUCUUUGUUUUUUAAUUUUAAUUCUUUAAUUUUGAGAAUAUAAAUUUCUACGUUUUAGAUGUUAUAAUAUUUCUUAUUUGAGUUCACUUGAUAUGUUAAAAUGUGAUUGAUAUGUUUUUUGGCGGAUAUAAUUGUAGUUGCAGCCAUAGUGGGCCAAUCCUUUCUCUCUCUCUUCUGAGUUUAAAAUUGGAAUGCUAAGAAUGUGGUUGACCCAUUCCUUGGCGUGGCAACUGUUGUUGCAGCCGUUCUGUGUAAUUAUUCUCUUUGUUUUUUUAUUUUAAUUCUUUAAUUCUGAGAAUAUAAAUGUCUAAUUUUUAGAUGUUACAAAAUUUCUUAUUUGAGUUCACAUGAUAUGUUGAAGUGUAAUUGAUAUGUUUCUUGGCGGAAAUAACUGUAGUUGCAGCAAUAGUUUGCCAAUCCUUUCUCUCUCUCUUUUGAGUUUAAAAUUGGAAUGCUAAGAACGUAAUUGACCUAUUUCUUGGUGAGGAAAUUGUAGAUGCAGCUGUGGUGGGUAAAUCAUUUCUAUUUGUUCUUUAAUUUUAAAUCUCGAAAACUGAGAAUGUAAUUGUCCAGUUUCUAGAUGUUACAAUAUUUUUUAUUUGCGUUCACAUAACAUGUUGAGAAUGUGAUUGAUAUGUUUCUUUGCUAGGGUAACUGUAGUUUCACCCACAGUGAGCCAACCACUUCUUUCUCUCUGUCAUUUGAGUUUAAAAUUGGAAUACUAAGAAUGUGAUUGACCCAUUACUUGGCGAGGGAACUAUUGUUGCGACGUUUGUGGUAAAUUCCUUUCUCAAUUAUUUUGUUUAAAUUUUAAUUUUUUAAUUCUAAGAAUAUAAUUGUCUAGUUUCUAGAUGUUACAAUAUUUCUUAUUUACUUCACGUGAUAUGUUAAAAUGUGGAUUUCACUAUUUUCUUGGGUGGAGAUAAUUGUAAGUUGUUAGCCGAUAGUGGUGCCAUCCUUUUCUUUCUCUCUCUUUUGAGUUUAAAAUUGGAAUGCUAAGAAUGUGAUUGACCCAUUCCUUGGUGUGAGGCAACUGUAUUUUGCAGCCGUGGUGGUUAAAUCAUUUCUCUAUUUUUUCUUCUUUAUUUUAAAUCGCUAAACUGAGAAUGUGAAUUGUCCAGUUUUUUAGAUUUUACAACGUAUUUUUUUAUUUUGGUUCACCUGACAUGCUGAGAAUGUGAUGGAUAUGUUUUUCUGCUAGGGUAAAACUGUAGUUCACCAACAUGAACCACCUUCUUUUCCUCACUUGUCAUUUGAGUGUUAAAAUUGGAAAUACUAAGAAUGUGAUUGAUCCAUUCCUUGGCAAGGCAACUAUUGUUUUAGCCCAUGAGUGGUAAAUCCUUUUCUCUUAUUUUUUAAUUUUAAUUCUUUCAUUCUGAGAAUGUAAUUGGUCCUUUUUGUCUAGAAUUGUCAUAAUAUUUUUUAUUUGAUUUCAAUGACAUGUUGGAGAAUGUAAUUGGAUAUGUGUGCUUGGGCUAGGGUAACUGUAAGUUUCACCACGUGAGCCAACCACUUCUUAUCUCUCUGUCAUUUGAGUUUAAAAUUGGAAUACUAAGAAUGUGAUUGAUCCUUCCUGGCGACCGGCAAAAAUAUUGUUGCAGCCGUUUUGGGUAAUCCUUCUCAUUAUUUUUUAAUUGUAAUUUUUUAAUUCUGAGAAGGUCAAUGUCUAAUUUCUAGAGGUUACAAUUAUUUAUUAUUUGAGUUCAUAGAUAUUUAAAAUGUGAUCAAAUGUUUCUUAGCGGAGAUUAAUUGUAAUGUGCAGCAUAGGGACCAUUGGGGAUCCUGUUGUAUUCUUUUCUCUCUAUUUUGAAGUUUAAAAUUGGAAGCUAAGAAUGUGAUUGACCCAUUCCUUGGGAGGCAAAUGUAGUUGAGCCAUGAUGGGGAAAUUCAUUUCUAUUUGUUCUUUAAUUUUCAAUAUCGAAAACUGAGAAUGUAAUUGUCCAGUUUCUAGAUGUACACUAUUUUUGAUUUGCAUUCAGAUGACUAUGAGAAUUGAUGAUGGUUUCUUUGGGAGGGGGUAAAUGUAGUUUCACCCACAGUGAGCCAAAAAACCAUUUCUUCUCUCUGUCAUUUGAGUUUUAAAAUUUGAAUAUAAGAAUGUGAUUGACCCAUUUCUGGCAAGGCCACUAUUAUUGACAGCCGUGCGGGUAAAUCCUUUCUCUUUAUUUUAAUUUUUAAUUCAUUAAUUCUGAGACUGUCAAAUGUCUAGUUUCAGAUGUUACAAAGUCUAUUUGAGUUCACCUUGAUAUGUAAAAUGUGAGUCAAACUGUUUCUUAGCGGAGAUAAUUGUAAUUGCAGCCAUAGUGACAAUCCUUUCUUUCUCUCUUUUGAGUUUAAAAUUGGAAGGCUUAAGAAUGUGAUUGACCCAUUCCUUGGUGAGGCCAAACUGUAGUUUAGCCAUGAUGGGUAAAUUCUUUCUAUGUGUUCUUUUAAUUUUAAUCUGAAAACUGAAAGAAUGUAAUUGUCCAGUUUCCGAGAAGAUGUGACAAUAUUUUUUAUUUGAAUUCACAUGACAUAUUGAGAAUGUGAUUGAUAUGUUUUCUGGCUAGGGUAACUGUAGUUUCAACCACUCACAGUGAGCCAACCAUUUCUCUCUCUCUGUCAUUUGAGUUUAAAAUUGGAAUACUAGAAUGGUGGAUUGACCCAUUCCUUGGCGAGGCAACUAUUAUUGCACUCGUUGCGGGUAAAUCCUCUCUCUUUAUUUUUUAAUUUUAAUUCUUUAAUUCUGAGAAUGUAAAUGUCUAGUUUUUAGAUGUUACAUUAUUUCUAAUUUGAGUUCACUUGAUAUGUUAAAAUGUGAUUGAUAUGUUUCUUGGCUAGGGUAGCUGUAGUUUCACCCACAGUGAGCCAACCAUUUCUUUCUCUCUGUCAUUUGAGUUUAAAAUUGGAAUAUUAAGAAUGUGAUUGACCCAUUCCUUGGCGAGGCAACUGUAGUUGUAGCCGUGAUGGGAAAAUCCUUUUUCUUUGAUUUUAAUUUUAAAUGUCCUAAUACUGAGAAUGUAUUGUCUAGUUUCUAAAUAUUACAAUUUUUUUUUAUUUGAUUUCCACAUGACAUGUUGAGAAUGUGAUUGAAUGUUCCUUGUCGGGGGUAACUGUAGUUACACUCAACAGUAAUUCCAUCAUUCUUUCUCUCUGUCAUUUGAGUUUAAACUUGGACAUGUUAAAAUGUGGAUUGAUCGAUUCCUUGGCGAGGCAACGAUUGUUGCAGCCAUGGUGGUGCAUCCUUUCUCUUUGUUUUUAAUUUUAAUCUCGAAUUCUGAGAAUGUCAAAGUCUAAAGUUUUUAGAUGUUCCAAUAAUUUUUUAUUGAGUUCACAUGGUAUGUUUAAAUGUAUUGAUAUGUUUCUCUGUUUUCUUUCUUUUUCUUCUUGGCGGAAAUAACUGUAGUUGUAGCUAUAGUGGGCCAAGUCCAUUUCUCUCUCUCUUUUGAGUUUAACAUUGGAACGCUAACAAUGUGAUUGAUCCUUCCUUGGCGAGCAAACUAUUGUUUUGCAGCCGUUGCGGGUAAUCCUUUUUCUUUGGUUUUUUUAUUUUACUUCUUAAUUCGGAAUGUAAAGUCCUAGUUUCUACGAUGUUUUAUAAUAUGUAUUUUGAUUCACAUGAUAUGUUAUCAUGUGAUUGAAUGUUUGUUGCAGAGAUAAUUGUAAUGCGGUCAUGUGGCCAUCCUUUCUUUCUCUCUCUUUUGAGUUUAAAAUUGGAAUAAGAAGAUGUUAUUGACCCAUUCCUUGGUGAGGCAACUGUAGUUGCAGCCGUGGUGGUUAAAUAUUUCUAUUUUGUUCGUUAAUUUUAAUCUCGAAAACUGGGAAUGUAUUGUCUAUUUUCGAAUGAUGUUAUAAUAAUUUGUAUUUGAGUUCACCUGACAUGUUGAGAAUGUGAAAUUGAUAUGU